GGAGAUCAGACGUGUGCUUUUCUCUGGUAUGCGAAGUUACUCAUGAAGUACUACUAAACCAAUGAUAAACCUUGGGUUACAUUUGGGAAAAUGCUAUAACUAUUCUAGAGACUAUGCACUUCGUAAAGUUUUAAUGUUUUGAGAGAUCAUCACUUGAUAUUGUAAUUAUGGAAAUGUUAUGUGUCAAAGAAAUAACCUGAUUUCCUUGCCAGCUAAAUUGUAAACUCUCAUCUCGUCAGCUCUAACCAUAUGCAUUCUGAGUUUUUGUCAUUUAUAAUUGUUUUCUCUUGUAAAAUGAGUUUUAUCUUCAAGGAGAUUCAUAUAAAGGACUUUCAGGACAAAUACAGAUAUUUAAUACAAUUGAAAAUCCUAAAACUGA